rnacentral:rRNA from 1 species
GAUGAACGCUGGCGGCGUGCCUAAUACAUGCAAGUCGAGCGAACAGACGAGGAGCUUGCUCCUCUGACGUUAGCGGCGGACGGGUGAGUAACACGUGGAUAACCUACCUAUAAGACUGGGAUAACUUCGGGAAACCGGAGCUAAUACCGGAUAAUAUAUUGAACCGCAUGGUUCAAUAGUGAAAUACGGUUUUGCUGUCACUUAUAGAUGGAUCCGCGCCGCAUUAGCUAGUUGGUAAGGUAACGGCUUACCAAGGCAACGAUGCGUAGCCGGCCUGAGAGGGUGAUCGGCCACACUGGAACUGAGACACGGUCCAGACUCCUACGGGAGGCAGCAGUAGGGAAUCUUCCGCAAUGGGCGAAAGCCUGACGGAGCAACGCCGCGUGAGUGAUGAAGGUCUUCGGAUCGUAAAACUCUGUUAUUAGGGAAGAACAAAUGUGUAAGUAACUAUGCACGUCUUGACGGUACCUAAUCAGAAAGCCACGGCUAACUACGUG